rnacentral:rRNA from 1 species
GAUGAACGCUGGCGGCGUGCCUAAUACAUGCAAGUCGAGCGAACGGACGAGAAGCUUGCUUCUCUGAUGUUAGCGGCGGACGGGUGAGUAACACGUGGAUAACCUACCUAUAAGACUGGGAUAACUUCGGGAAACCGGAGCUAAUACCGGAUGAUAUUUUGAACCGCAUGGUUCAAAAGUGAAAGACGGUCUUGCUGUCACUUAUAGAUGGAUCCGCGCUGCAUUAGCUAGUUGGUAAGGUAACGGCUUACCAAGGCAACGAUGAAUAGCCGACCCGAGAGGAUGAUCGGCCACAGUGGGACUGAGACACGGACCAGACUCGUAGGGGAGGCAGGAGGGGGGAAUGUACAGCAAUGGGGGAAAGCAUGAAGGAGCAAUGCGGCGUGGAGGUAGAAGGCCGACGGGUCGUGAACUGCUUUUCCAGGAGAAGAAGAAAUGACGGUAGCUGGGGAAUAAGCAUCGGCUAACUCUGUG